rnacentral:rRNA from 1 species
AGCAACGCCGCGUGAGUGAAGAAGGUUUUCGGAUCGUAAAACUCUGUUGUUAGAGAAGAACAAGGACGUUAGUAGCUGAACGUCCCCUGACGGUAUCUAACCAGAAAGCCACGGCUAACUACGUGCCAGCAGCCCGGGUAAUACGUAGGUGGCAAGCGUUGUCCGGAUUUAUUGGGCGUAAAGCGAGCGCAGGCGGUUUCUUAAGUCUGAUGUGAAAGCACCGGGCUCAACCGGGGAGGGUCAUUGGAAACUGGGAGACUUGAGUGCAGAAGAGGAGAGUGGAAUUCCAUGUGUAGCGGUGAAAUGCGUAGAUAUAUGGAGGAACACCAGUGGCGAAGGCGGCUCUCUGGUCUGUAACUGACGCUCAGG